GAUUUCGGAUGGGUUGCAGCGGUCCGCCUCUGGUGAGUACUGCUGUGGCCUAUCUUUCUGCCGGGGACGGGCUCCUGGGCUUCACUGUCCGGGACUCGGAGUCGGCGAUGUUACUUUGAGUAAAUUAGAGUGUUCAAAGCAGGCCUACGCUCUGAAUACUUUAGCAUGGAAUAACACGAUAGGACUCUGGCCUAUCUUGUUGGUCUGUAGGACCGGAGUAAUGAUUAAGAGGGACAGUCGGGGGCAUUCGUAUUUCAUUGUCAGAGGUGAAAUUCUUGGAUUUAUGAAAGACGAACUACUGCGAAAGCAUU
rnacentral:rRNA from 1 species